rnacentral:rRNA from 1 species
UACGGAGGGUGCAAGCGUUAUCUGGAUUCACUGGGUUUAAAGAGCGUGUAGGCGGCCAGGUAGGUCUGCUGUGAAAACUCGAGGCUCAACCUCGAGACGUCGGCGGAAACCAUCUGGCUAGAGUCCGGAAGAGGAGAGUGGAAUUCCUGGUGUAGCGGUGAAAUGCGCAGAUAUCAGGAAGAACACCCGUGGCGAAGGCGGCUCUCUGGGACGGUACUGACGCUGAGACGCGAAAGCGUGGGGAGCGAACAGG